AGAGUUUGAUCCUGGCUCAGGAUGAACGCUAGCGGCAGGCUUAACACAUGCAAGUCGAGGGGUAUAGUUCUUCGGAGCUAGAGACCGGCGCACGGGUGCGUAACGCGUAUGCAAUCUACCUUUUACAGAGGGAUAGCCCAGAGAAAUUUGGAUUAAUACCUCAUAGUAUGUGAGAAUCGCAUGGUUUUCACAUUAAAGUUCCAACGGUAAAAGAUGAGCAUGCGUCCCAUUAGCUAGAUGGUAAGGUAACGGCUUACCAUGGCAACGAUGGGUAGGGGUCCUGAGAGGGAGAUCCCCCACACUGGUACUGAGACACGGACCAGACUCCUACGGGAGGCAGCAGUGAGGAAUAUUGGACAAUGGGCGCAAGCCUGAUCCAGCCAUGCCGCGUGCAGGAUGACGGUCCUAUGGAUUGUAAACUGCUUUUGUACAGGAAGAAACACUCCCUCGUGAGGGAGCUUGACGGUACUGUAAGAAUAAGGAUCGGCUAACUCCGUGCCAGCAGCCGCGGUAAUACGGAGGAUCCAAGCGUUAUCCGGAAUCAUUGGGUUUAAAGGGUCCGUAGGCGGUUUAAUAAGUCAGUGGUGAAAGCCCAUCGCUCAACGGUGGAACGGCCAUUGAUACUGUUAAACUUGAAUUAUUAGGAAGUAACUAGAAUAUGUAGUGUAGCGGUGAAAUGCUUAGAGAUUACAUGGAAUACCAAUUGCGAAGGCAGGUUACUACUAAUGGAUUGACGCUGAUGGACGAAAGCGUGGGUAGCGAACAGGAUUAGAUACCCUGGUAGUCCACGCCGUAAACGAUGGAUACUAGCUGUUGGGAGCAAUCUCAGUGGCUAAGCGAAAGUGAUAAGUAUCCCACCUGGGGAGUACGUUCGCAAG
rnacentral:rRNA from 1 species